GAGGGGGUAGCUCAGCCGGAUAGAGCAUCGGUUUUCUAAACCGACGGUCGCGGGUUCGAGUCCCGCCCCCCUCGCCA
rnacentral:tRNA from 1 species